rnacentral:rRNA from 1 species
GACGAACGCUGGCGGCGUGCUUAACACAUGCAAGUCGAACGGAAAGGCCCUGCUUUUGUGGGGUGCUCGAGUGGCGAACGGGUGAGUAACACGUGAGUAACCUGCCCUUGACUUUGGGAUAACUUCAGGAAACUGGGGCUAAUACCGGAUAGGAGCUCCUGCUGCAUGGUGGGGGUUGGAAAGUUUCGGCGGUUGGGGAUGGACUCGCGGCUUAUCAGCUUGUUGGUGGGGUAGUGGCUUACCAAGGCUUUGACGGGUAGCCGGCCUGGGAGGGUGACCGGCCACAUUAGGACUGAGAUACGGCUCAGUCUCCAACGGGAGGCAACAGUGGGAAAUAUUGCACAGUGGGCGGGAGCCUGAUGCAGCAGCGCCGCGUGCGGGAUGACGGCCUUCGGGUUGUGAACCGCUUUCGCCUGUGACGAAGCGUGAGUGACGGUAAUGAGUAAAGAAGCACCGGCUAACUACGUG